UACGUAGGUGGCAAGCGUUGUCCGGAUUUACUGGGCGUAAAGGGCGUGCAGGCGGUUCGUUAAGUUCAGGGUGAAAGCCCCCGGCUCAACUGGGGAGGGUCACGCGAUACUGCUCGACUCGAAGGCAGGAGAGGGAAGUGGAAUUCCCGGUGUAGUGGUGAAAUGCGUAGAUAUCGGGAGGAACACCAGUGGCGAAGGCGACUUCCUGGCCUGUUCUUGACGCUGAGGCGCGAAAGCUAGGGUAGCAAACGGG
rnacentral:rRNA from 1 species